UACGUAGGGGGCAAGCGUUGUCCGGAUUUAUUGGGCGUAAAGAGCGUGUAGGCGCCAGACAGGUCCGUUGUGAAACUCGAGGCUCAACCUCGAGACGCCGAUGGAAACCGUCUGGCUAGAGUCCGGAAGAGGAGAGUGGAAUUCCUGGUGUAGCGGUGAAAUGCGCAGAUAUCAGGAAGAACACCCGUGGCUAAGGCGGCUCUCUAGUACGGUACUGACGCUGAGACGCGAAAGCGUGGGGAGCGAACAGG
rnacentral:rRNA from 1 species